rnacentral:rRNA from 1 species
UACGUAGGGCGCAAGCGUUGUCCGGAAUUAUUGGGCGUAAAGAGCUCGUAGGCGGUCUGUCGCGUCGAAUGUGAAAACCCGGGGCUCAACCCCGGGCCUGCAUUCGAUACGGGCAGACUAGAGUUCGGUAGGGGAGUCUGGAAUUCCUGGUGUAGCGGUGAAAUGCGCAGAUAUCAGGAGGAACACCGGUGGCGAAGGCGGGUCUCUGGGCCGAUACUGACGCUGAGGAGCGAAAGCGUGGGGGAGCGAACAGG